rnacentral:rRNA from 1 species
AUAUGGAGGAUCCGAGCGUUAUCCGGAUUUAUUGGGUUUAAAGGGUGCGUAGGCGGCCUUUUAAGUCAGCGGUGAAAGUCUGUGGCUCAACCAUAGAAUUGCCGUUGAAACUGGGGGGCUUGAGUAUGUUUGAGGCAGGGGGAAUGCGUGGUGUAGCGGUGAAAGGCAUAGAUAUCACGCAGAACCCCGAUUGCGAAGGCCGCCUGCCAAGCCAUGACUGACGCUGAUGCACGAAAGCGUGGGGAUCAAACAGGAUUAGAUACCCUGGUAGUCCACGCAGUAAACGAUGAUCACUAGCUGUUUGCGAUACACUGUAAGCGGCACAGCGAAAGCGUUAAGUGAUUCACCUGGGGAGUACGCCGGCAACGGUGAAACUCAAAUGAAUUGACGGGG